AUACAAUGUAAAAAAUUUUUUGAUAUUACUUGUAUUCCACUCAACACAUCAAAAGAAAUCAGUUGAGAGGCUUUUGAGAAAAAAAAUCGAGGCAGGGGCCAUCACAGGGGCUCUGUUGCAAGAGGCAUUUUCGAAAAGGGCACAGGCGAUGAGAGACUACUUCCCCUCUAUGCUUAUCUGAGGAAGGAAACCAAUUCUCAAGGCGAUGAAACCACCCAAAAUAAUAGUUUCUUCCUGAGUGAAAAUAAAACUUUGCUAUUCCCUAAUGCUCCUGAGAAUUGCACAAUGGAGCGAAUAAUAAAAAAAAUGGCGUGGGAUUCCAUAAAAUCAGAAUCGAUGGAGGAGGCAUUGUUAAAGUUUACAGAUUCCAUGGAAUACAACGUUAAAAAAUUUUUAAUUUUAAUUGUAUUCCACUCAACAAAUCAACAACAAGCAGUUGAGAGGCUUUUGAAAAAAAACAUCGAGGCAGGGGCCAUCACAGGGGCUCUGUUGGAGGAGGCCUUUGCCAAAAGGGCACAGGCGAUGAGAGACUACUUCCCCUCUAUGCUUAUCUGAGGAAGGAAACCAAUUCUCAAGGCGAUGAAACCACCCAAAAUAAUAGUUUCUUCCUGAGUGAAAAUAAAACUUUGCUAUUCCCUAAUGCUCCUGAGAAUUGCACAAUGGAGCGAAUAUUGAAAAGCAUGGCUUGGGAUGCCAUCAAAUUUGAAUCAAUGGAGGAGGCAUGGUUAAAGGAGAUUGUUGAACAAUUAGUGAAUAACAAAUGUAAAGGGUCUGAAGAGGAGACAAGACACUUCAAUAGAUAUUUUAUAUGAGCUGGUGGACAAGCACGUAAACAAGAUGUCACAAUUUGCAACCAUUGAAAUUUUGAUUAAACUAUGAAACUAUU